AUUGAACGCUGGCGGCAGGCCUAACACCUGCAAGUCGAGCGAGCGUCGGACGGGUGAGUAAUGUAUGGGGACUGCCCGAUAGAGGGGGAUAACUACUGGAAACGGUGGCUAAUACCGCAUACUGUCGGAGAACCCCGAUGGGAUGAGUUAGUAGGUAAGGUAAUGGCUUACCGAGGCGACGAUCCCUAGCUGGUCUGAGAGGAUGAUCAGCCACACUGGGACGGAGACACGGCCCAGACGCCUACGGAGGCAGCAGUGGGGAAUAUUGCACAAUGGGCGCAAGCCUGAUGCAGCCAUGCCGCGUGUAUGAAGAAGGCCCUAGGGUUGUAAAGUACUUUCAGUCGGGAGGCGUUACCGACAGAAGAAGCACCGGCUAACUCCGUGCCAGCAGCCGCGGUAAUUC
rnacentral:rRNA from 1 species